rnacentral:rRNA from 1 species
GACGAACGCUGGCGGCGUGCUUAACACAUGCAAGUCGAACGGAAAGGCCCUGCUUUUGUGGGGUGCUCGAGUGGCGAACGGGUGAGUAACACGUGAGUAACCUGCCCUUGACUUUGGGAUAACUUCAGGAAACUGGGGCUAAUACCGGAUAGGAGCUCCUGCUGCAUGGUGGGGGUUGGAAAGUUUCGGCGGUUGGGGAUGGACUCGCGGCUUAUCAGCUUGUUGGUGGGGUAGUGGCUUACCAAGGCUUUGACGGGUAGCCGGCCUGAGAGGGUGACCGGCCACAUUGGGACUGAGAUACGGCCCAGACUCCUACGGGAGGCAGCAGUGGGGAAUAUUGCACAAUGGGCGGAAGCCUGAUGCAGCAACGCCGCGUGCGGGAUGACGGCCUUCGGGUUGUAAACCGCUUUCGCCUGUGACGAAGCGUGAGUGACGGUAAUGGGUAAAGAAGCACCGGCUAACUACGUGCCAGCAGCCGCGGUGAUACGUAGGGUGCGAGCGUUGUCCGGAUUUAUUGGGCGUAAAGGGCUCGUAGGUGGUUGAUCGCGUCGGAAGUGUAAUCUUGGGGCUUAACCCUGAGCGUGCUUUCGAUACGGGUUGACUUGAGGAAGGUAGGGGAGAAUGGAAUUCCUGGUGGAGCGGUGGAAUGCGCAGAUAUCAGGAGGAACACCAGUGGCGAAGGCGGUUCUCUGGGCCUUUCCUGACGCUGAGGAGCGAAAGCGUGGGGAGCGAACAGGCUUAGAUACCCUGGUAGUCCACGCUGUAAACGGUGGGUACUAGGUGUGGGGUCCAUUCCACGGGUUCCGUGCCGUAGCUAACGCUUUAAGUACCCCGCCUGGGGAGUACGGCCGCAAGGCUAAAAUUCAAAGGAAUUGACGGGGCCCCGCACAAGCGGCGGAGCAUGCGGAUUAAUUCGAUGCAACGCGUAGAACCUUACCUGGGUUUGACAUGGAUCGGGAGUGCUCAGAGAUGGGUGUGCCUCUUUUGGGGUCGGUUCACAGGUGGUGCAUGCCUGUCGUCAGCUCGUGUCGUGAGAUGUUGGGUUAAGUCCCGCAACGAGCGCAACCCUUGUUCACUGUUGCCAGCACGUUAUGGUGGGGACUCAGUGGAGACCGCCGGGGUCAACUCGGAGGGAGGUGGGGAUGACGUCAAGUCAUCAUGCCCCUUAUGUCCAGGGCUUCACGCAUGCUACAAUGGCUGGUACAGAGAGUGGCGAGCCUGUGAGGGUGAGCGAAUCUCGGAAAGCCGGUCUCAGUUCGGAUUGGGGUCUGCAACUCGACCUCAUGAAGUCGGAGUCGCUAGUAAUCGCAGAUCAGCAACGCUGCGGUGAAUACGUUCCCGGG